AAUAGAUACCCAGGUAGUCCACGCCCUAAACGAUGUCAACUGGUUGUCGGGGAAGCAAUUCCUUGGUAACGAAGCUAACGCGUGGAGUUGACCGCCUGGGGAGUACGGCCGCAAGGUUAAAACUCAAAGGAAUUGACGGGGGACCCACACAAGCGGUGGAUUAUGUGGAUUAAUUCGAUGCAACGCGAAAAACCUUACCUACCCUUGACAUGUACGGAACUUGGCAGAGAUGCCUUGGUGCCCGAAAGGGAGCCGUAACACAGGUGCUGCAUGGCUGUCGUCAGCUCGUGUCGUGAGAUGUUGGGUUAAGUCCCGCAACGAGCGCAACCCUUGUCAUUAGUUGCUACAUUCAGUUGGGCACUCUAAUGAGACUGCCGGUGACAAACCGGAGGAAGGUGGGGAUGACGUCAAGUCCUCAUGGCCCUUAUGGGUAGGGCUUCACACGUAAUACAAUGGCCGGUACAGAGGGCUGCCAACCCGCGAGGGGGAGCUAAUCCCAGAAAGCCGGUCGUAGUCCGGAUUGUUCUCUGCAACUGAGAGCA
rnacentral:rRNA from 1 species